AGUCCGUCGUCCACAUGCCCCGAAUUGAUUCCCCUUACAUGCAUGCGUGCGUCAGGUCACGACUUGCCAUUUAUCAGCGUCACGUCCCAGGACGCGCCGGCCCGCGUUUAGUCUAGUGGACGCAGGCACACAUCUUGGUCUUGGGCUCUGGGCACUUCACUCGCUUCCUCGUGUGAAGCUUUAUAGUAUCCUCUAGCUACGGCACGAACGAUACAAACAGAGCGUCGUCGUCGUACUACUACAGCUAGAAGAAGAAACAUUUGAAGCGCGGGCGAGAGAGGACAUAUGGGGACGGAGGAAGCUAUGACGAGGAGCGGGAAGACGAAGGCGCCACCAUCGUCCCUGCCGCCGGCGCCGGCGCCUGCGCUCUUCCUUGUCCGCACGCGGCCGCGUAAUACGACGGCGACGAGCAAGGUGAUGGGCGUCGACUGCUCCCCGAGCCCGAGGCGCCCGUCCACGCCGCCGCUCCGGUCGCGGGUCACGGUGCCCUUCCUCUGGGAGGACGCGCCCGGGAAGCCCAAGCUGCGAAGACCGGCUCCUCAGCUGGUCUUCCCUUCCGCUGCCGCCGCGAGCCCAGCGCUUGUCCGUGACCACGAGGGCGGGGCCGCCGUGCCUCUGAAGCUGCCCCCGCGGCUCCAGACGGCGGCUGAGUACUCGGUUGUUUCGUCCCCCAGCACGGUGCUGCACGGCCCGUACUUGGGCGGCAAGACGAAGCCGCCGAGGCCGAGGCCGCUGAGGAGGAGCGAGAGCGCGGCGAGCCGGCUGCUUUCUUGGCGGAAGGCUGCGGCUGCCUCCAAGUCCAAGAAAGGCGGCCACGAUCACGACGCUCCCGACGCGUCGUGCUGUUCGCCGCCGGGGUCGUCGGCUUCCUCGUCCUCGUCCUCGUCCAUGUCAUACUUCUUCGAUGACCAAAGCCGUAGAUCUCACUGGCGGCAACAAGCCGAUGCAAGGGAGGAGUCGGAGGACGGCGAGGAGGACGGCGGUGCGGCCCAGGGGUCGGUGAGGAUCACCAGGUUCAGGAGGAACAGCAGCCUUCCCAAUAUCACCACAUCGCGUCUCUGGGUAAGUUUUGAGUCUCCCGUUUCAUCCCCUGUCAGACUCCCCCGUUUCCUCUGUUUUUCAUGCCUUGCUCUGUUUUGCUUACAACUGAACCUCAUAUACUUAUGCAUGCAUACAAAACAGCCUAUUUGAUCAAGUAAAUUUUCAAGGUUUUUCCCCCUCAAAUUAGUUACAUGGAUCAUCUCGUGCCCGUGGCACAUUUACGGUUUUGCCAUCAAAUAGCAAAGCGAAAACGGUAGUCAUCCUGAAUUACUGGAUCGGAUGAAAUAAAAGAACGAAAUUUCUAUGAUCCACAUGAGCUACUGUUACACUUCGCUCGGGCUCAGAGCGGACGUAUAGUCGGUAGCGUGUAGUAAUACACGACAGAGGAUUUGUGCUGCUGGUUCAAACUACACUUCCUAUCUCCUGAGUAUGUACUUCUUCCGUCCCAUAAUUUCUGUCUCAAAUUUGUCCAAAUAUGAAUGUAUCUAUUUCUGAAAAGCGUCGAGAUACAUGUAAUAUUUCGACAAAAAUUAUGGGACGGAGGAAGUAAUAAUUUGUACGGUUUUACUAUAUCUAAGUCAUUUGAUUGUAGUUAGAGAUAAGUUGAUUGGUCGGUGUCGGAUGUACUUUGUACUUUAAGAUUUGCAAUGGAUGAUGCAGAGAGAAGUGGAUACGGCGCUCAAAUAAUAAUCUGACUCUUGUGAUACGCCGAUUGAGAUUUAAGAUUUUUUCUUAAAAACCAGACUCUGAGUGCCCCAGAUGUACUCCCACGGCCAGCGUCCGCAAGGGCGUCAAGCAGAUUAACCCAUG